UAUUGCACAUGACUAAGUUGCA
rnacentral:miRNA from 1 species